AAUAGGUAGAGAUAACAAUUGUAAAUAUAUAAACACCCAACAUUGGAACACCUCAAUAUAUUAAGCAAAUAGUAACAGAUCAGAAGGGAG